ACGUUCGUUGGGUAGGGGAGCGUUCUGUAAGCCUGUGAAGGUGGCCUGUGAGGGUUGCUGGAGGUAUCAGAAGUGCGAAUGCUGACAUAAGUAACGAUAAAGCGGGUGAAAAGCCCGCUCGCCGGAAGACCAAGGGUUCCUGUCCAACGUUAAUCGGGGCAGGGUGAGUCGACCCCUAAGGCGAGGCCGAAAGGCGUAGUCGAUGGGAAACAGGUUAAUAUUCCUGUACUUGGUGUUACUGCGAAGGGGGGACGGAGAAGGCUAUGUUGGCCGGGCGACGGUUGUCCCGGUUUAAGCGUGUAGGCUGGUUUUCCAGGCAAAUCCGGAAAAUCAAGGCUGAGGCGUGACGACGAGGCACUACGGUGCUGAAGCAACAAAUGCCCUGCUUCCAGGAAAAGCCUCUAAGCAUCAGG
rnacentral:rRNA from 1 species